AUUGAACGCUGGCGGCAGGCCUAACACAUGCAAGUCGAACGAGUGGCGGACGGGUGAGAAAUGUCUGGGAAACUGCCUGAUGGAGGUGGAUAACUACUGGAAACGGUAGCUAAUACCGCAUACCAUCGGAUGUGCCCAGAUGGGAUUAGCUUGUUGGGGGGGUAACGGCUCACCAAGGCGACGAUCCCGAGCUGGUCUGAGAGGAUGACCAGCCACACUGGAACUGAGACACGGUCCAGACUCCGACGGGAGGCCGCAGUGGGGAAUAUUGCACAAGGGGCGCAAGCCUGGUGCAGCCAUGCCGCGUGUAUGAAGAAGGCCUUCGGGUUGUAAAGUACUUUCAGCGGGGAGGCGUUACCCGCAGAAGAAGCACCGGCUAACUCCGUGCCAGCAGCCGCGGUAAUAC
rnacentral:rRNA from 1 species